rnacentral:rRNA from 1 species
GAUGAACGCUGGCGGCGUGCCUAAUACAUGCAAGUCGAGCGGACAGACGGGGAGCUUGCUCCUCUGACGUUAGCGGCGGACGGGUGAGUAACACGUGGAUAACCUACCUAUAAGACUGGGAUAACUUCGGGAAACCGGAGCUAAUACCGGAUAAUAUAUUGAACCGCAUGGUUCAAUAGUGAAAGACGGUUUUGCUGUCACUUAUAGAUGGAUCCGCGCCGCAUUAGCUAGUUGGUAAGGUAACGGCUUACCAAGGCAACGAUGCGUAGCCGACCUGAGAGGGUGAUCGGCCACACUGGAACUGAGACACGGUCCAGACUCCUACGGGAGGCAGCAGUAGGGAAUCUUCCGCAAUGGGCGAAAGCCUGACGGAGCAACGCCGCGUGAGUGAUGAAGGUCUUCGGAUCGUAAAACUCUGUUAUUAGGGAAGAACAAAUGUGUAAGUAACUAUGCACGUCUUGACGGUACCUAAUCAGAAAGCCACGGCUAACUACGUG